UUUCAUUAAGCAGGCUGCUUUUUGGCCGACAGAAUUUUCUCAUUAUACAAACGCUGUAGAAGAGGGGCGUCGCGAAUAUGCUUGACCCUAGAUAGCCCAGGGACGGGCUGUGGUCCGUCAUUAUCCCCUCACACAUACCUCUGCCAGUUAAAUGCCAAAUUUUGGUCUCAACCAAGCAGAAAUCCUGCUAUUCCUCAAAAAGCUAAGGAGCCCAUUACCGAGCGAAGUCUCCCGUUCAACAGCAGCUCUGAGCUCUGAGCCACCAAACAGCCACGCAGUACUUUCCAGAGAGCCGACCCGUCACUGCGGGUCACCUCCUCUGAGCAUUUCUCAAGACUGUAGAGCUGCUCCAUCUUUCAGCUUCUCCAAGAAGUCCUCCUGCGGUCUUCGGUUUAUCCUGUCAUGCUCC
rnacentral:lncRNA from 1 species